rnacentral:rRNA from 1 species
AGAGUUUGAUCCUGGCUCAGAGCGAACGCUGGCGGCAGGCCUAACACAUGCAAGACGAACGAACUCUUCGGAGUUAGUGGCGGACGGGUGAGUAACACGUGGGAACGUGCCUUUAGGUUCGGAAUAACUCAGGGAAACUUGUGCUAAUACCGAAUGUGCCCUUCGGGGGAAAGAUUUAUCGCCUUUAGAGCGGCCCGCGUCUGAUUAGCUAGUUGGUGAGGUAAAGGCUCACCAAGGCGACGAUCAGUAGCUGGUCUGAGAGGAUGAUCAGCCACAUUGGGACUGAGACACGGCCCAAACUCCUACGGGAGGCAGCAGUGGGGAAUCUUGCGCAAUGGGCGAAAGCCUGACGCAGCCAUGCCGCGUGAAUGAUGAAGGUCUUAGGAUUGUAAAAUUCUUUCACCGGGGACGAUAAUGACGGUACCCGGAGAAGAAGCCCCGGCUAACUUCGUGCC